CGUCAAGUGGUAUGUGUUAAUCCUGUGCAAUACGUGCGACGUGGGCCUCUGAGUCUGUGGCGACGACGACGCCACGCAGAGGAUGAAGACGAGGUUGUUGCCGCACGAAGAGCGCGAAUCGAACCGCCGAAUAAUGCGGUGCUUCCACCGUCGUCCAAUGUACAACGUAUCCCUCUCAUCGAAAUAGAUGAUGAUGAUGAU